ensembl:lncRNA
UUGGCCGUGGGGCCUUGGUUCCAGCAGCUGCUGAAUAAACAGCCACCUCCGUUUGUGAAGGGUGAGCUCACAGCGAUGCCACGCGGCUGAAGUUUCUAUUAAGUCACGAGGGCACUUAUCAGGAGGAAAGGUAGCGGCAGGUCUGUUAGUUAAUGGGCACGGGACCCCGGGUGGUCAAAAGGGGACCACGGUGUGAGCUGCUGCACGCUGCGAUAUCCUGCAGAUGCCUCCAAAAUGACAGCUGGCGGGGCGAAUGGUCCGGCGUGCAAACAUUCAAGAACAUUCUCAAAAAGAUGACUUGCGUAUCUGCGGCAAUCUUAGCCGGCGCUUCAUGCCCAAGUGGACGAGUCAGUUAUGUUAAAUCGACUGCUCCCAGACAAAUUAUUCCUCUGAGCCUUAAGUCUUGGCGCAGUGGGAGGAUGCAGGAUGUGCGGUCAUGCUGACGCCAGGUUUGAGGCUCCAUCAGCGGGGAACGGCCCCCUUGGAAAAGGACACAAUGUGUCCAACUACCUCGAUGCGAAUGAAACAAAACUCGCCUGGAGAAGACGGGAAUCCAUGAACGAGUCAUUCUACUCUCGGACGAUUGCAGCAGACACAAGAGCACAACGAGGGACACUCCUCUCUAACUGUCUCUGCAGUGUUGUUCAAAUAUAUGGAUACAAGUGGGAUUGUGUUCUUUCUUUGAGUGGAAUUAUACCAAAUAGACCACCACUUGUUG